UGACAGUACCAUUGCCAUGUCCAUAGGAUCCAUGCUUAAAACUACUCUUCUUAUUUCUACUCCUAUGACCAUCUGGUUUCACCUUUGGGGUUGAAGGACAUAAACUACUGCUUCUCUUCAACUGCCAAACUGACUGAUUUGAACUUUGAUUUUGAUUCAUUGAUGGAGCGUUAAUGGUCGGAGCAGCUGUUUGGUUCUUGAUUUGAAGAGGAAGGAUCUUACCAUUGGAGAAAAGUUCAUUUGCUGAUGAAAAAU
rnacentral:lncRNA from 1 species